rnacentral:rRNA from 1 species
ACGCUGGCGGCGUGCUUAACACAUGCAAGUCGAACGGUGAAGAGGAGCUUGCUUCUUGGAUCAGUGGCGAACGGGUGAGUAACACGUGAGUAACCUGCCCCAAACUCUGGGAUAAGCACUGGAAACGGUGUCUAAUACCGGAUACGAGCUUCAGCCGCAUGGCUAGGAGUUGGAAAGAAUUUCGGUUUGGGAUGGACUCGCGGCCUAUCAGCUAGUUGGUGAGGUAAUGGCUCACCAAGGCGACGACGGGUAGCCGGCCUGAGAGGGUGACCGGCCACACUGGGACUGAGACACGGCCCAGACUCCUACGGGAGGCAGCAGUGGGGAAUAUUGCACAAUGGGCGCAAGCCUGAUGCAGCAACGCCGCGUGAGGGACGACGGCCUUCGGGUUGUAAACCUCUUUUAGUAGGGAAGAAGCGAAAGUGACGGUACCUGCAGAAAAAGCACCGGCUAACUACGUGCCAGCAGCCGCGGUAAUACGUAGGGUGCAAGCGUUGCCCGGAAUUAUUGGGCGUAAAGAGCUCGUAGGCGGUUUGUCGCGUCUGCUGUGAAAACCCGAGGCUCAACCUCGGGCCUGCAGUGGGUACGGGCAGACUAGAGUGCGGUAGGGGAGAUUGGAAUUCCUGGUGUAGCGGUGGAAUGCGCAGAUAUCAGGAGGAACACCAAUGGCGAAGGCAGAUCUCUGGGCCGUAACUGACGCUGAGGAGCGAAAGCAUGGGGAGCGAAAC